rnacentral:rRNA from 1 species
GGCUUAGCGGUAGCAGCAGGAGGAGCUAUCAUAAGCGGAGGAUGUUGCUUCGGCGGGUAGGCCGUCCCCUGAAAAGGACGCCUCCCGGCCCGGACCGGACCCCCUGUGGGGCCGGACUCGGCGCCCGCCGGAGGAUAACCAAACGCUAUUUUAACGACGUUUCUUCUGAGUGGCAUAAGCAAAAUAAUCAAAACUUUUAACAACGGAUCUCUUGGUUCUGGCAUCGAUGAAGAACGCAGCGAAAUGCGAUAAGUAAUGUGAAUUGCAGAAUUCAGUGAAUCAUCGAAUCUUUGAACGCACAUUGCGCCCGCCAGCAUUCUGGCGGGCAUGCCUGUUCGAGCGUCAUUUCAACCCUCAAGCUCUGCUUGGUGUUGGGGCUCUACGGUCGACGUAGGCCCUCAAAGGUAGUGGCGGACCCUCCCGGAGCCUCCUUUGCGUAGUAACAUUUCGUCUCGCACUGGGAUCCGGAGGGACUCUUGCCGUAAAACCCCCCAAUUUUUCAAGGUUGACCUCGGAUCAGGUAGGAAUACCCGCUGAACUUAAGCAUAUCAAUAAGCGGAGGAAGCGA